GGGGCGGAGGGAGGGGCGGAAAGAGCAGAGGGAGGGGCACAGGGGGCUGAGGAGUGCUGGGUCGGGCUUCCAGCUCCCUACAACGCAGACCAGUACUGGAGUUCGUGGUGCUGGAAGACCGCCGCCCGACUCUGGGCCCCGGGUAGGAAACAACAAUUUCGGACCUCCUGGGGUCUAUGCUAGGUAUGAGGUGUAUCUUUGCCCUCCAUCAAGUAGCAAAGAUGGACAUGUAAACAAAUUUCGACACUGUGAUGACUGCCACAAAAAGCAGCAUUAUGAGGUUGAAUGUAAAAGGAUAACCUUAGCGGCGGCGGGGGCCGGAGGAUGAAGGAAGGCUUCCUGAGGUAGGCGCUGGUUGAAACUGAAGUUGGAGAGAGCAAGUGGCAUUUGCUGAAGUGCAUUUCCGGUAGAAAACUCCAGUGGUCCCUCACCUGACUGAGUGGCGCAGUCAGAGAUAAAUGGAACAGAGUCUACAAAUAAACAUUUUAUAAAGAUGAUCCUUCAAUACAUAUUCUACAGCCCAGUUAAAAUGUGAGAGGCCAUGAUCUACAGACAGCCAUUUAUAAAGGUGGAUCAGGGCCGGACACGGUGGCUCAACGUCUGUAAUCCCGGCACUGUGGGAGGCCAAAGCGGGAGGAUCGCUUGAGCCCAGGAGUUCGAGACCAACCUGGCCAACAUGGUGAGACCCCAUCUUUACAAAAAAAUAUAUAUAUCCAGGCAUAGUGGUGUGCACCUGUGGUCCUGUGGUCCCAGCUACUCAGGAAGCUGAGGCAGUUGAGGCUGCAGUGAGCCACGUUCUGGCCACUACACUCCAGCCUGGGCAUCAAAGUGACAAGACCAAAAAAAAAAAAAAAUGUGGAUUGGAAGGAGGCAAGAAAGAAGUCAGGAAAAGGGUGGAAUGUAAGUCCCUAAGGACACAAUCUUACUCACAAUUGUAUCUCCAACAUUUGGCAUAAUGCCUAAUACGUAAGUAUUUUAUGAAUUAAUUAAACGAGAACACAAGCCUAAAUUAAGGCAAUGGCAAUGGAGAAGAAGAAACCAACUUGAGAAAUAUUUAAAGGUCAUUGUCAAUGGAACUUAGUGACUUUAAUGGUUAAUUUUAUCUAUCAACUUGGCUAGGCGAUGCUACCCAUGUUACUCAGUUUUUGGUCAAACACUAGUCUAGUUGUUGCUAUGAAUUGUAUUUGUUAGAUGUGAUUAACAUUUAAAUCAGCAGACUUUGAUUAAAGUACAUUACCCUCUAUAAUGAGGGUGGGCCGCAUCCGGUCAGUUCAAAUUAAAACGAGACCCUUAAGAAGAAGCAAUUCAGCCUCCAGACUGCAGCGUCAAAUCUCCCUGGGUCUCCAGGCUGUUUGUCUGCCCUGCAGAUUUCAGACUUGCCAGCUCCCAGAAUAAUGUGAGCCAA
rnacentral:lncRNA from 10 species